AGCGAACGUUAGCGGCGGGCCUAACACAUGCAAGUCGAACGCGAAAGGUCUUCGGACUGAGUAGAGUGGCGCACGGGUGAGUAACACGUAGGUAAUCUACCCUUUGGCGGGGGAUAACGUUCCGAAAGGAGCGCUAAUACCGCAUAAGACCACGGAGUCUCCGGACGCUGUGGGAAAAGGUGGCCUCUUCUUGAAAGCUACCACCGAAGGAUGAGCCUGCGUCCCAUCAGCUAGUUGGUAAGGUAAUGGCUUACCAAGGCGAAGACGGGUAGCUGGUCUGAGAGGAUGACCAGCCACACUGGAACUGAGACACGGUCCAGACUCCUACGGGAGGCAGCAGUGGGGAAUCUUGCGCAAUGGGCGAAAGCCUGACGCAGCGACGCCGCGUGGGUGAUGAAGGCCUCGGUUGUAAGACC
rnacentral:rRNA from 1 species